rnacentral:rRNA from 1 species
AGGACGAACGCUGGCGGCGUGCUUAACACAUGCAAGUCGAGCGGUAAGGCCUUUCGGGGUACACGAGCGGCGAACGGGUGAGUAACACGUGGGUGAUCUGCCCUGCACUUCGGGAUAAGCCUGGGAAACUGGGUCUAAUACCGGAUAUGACCUCCUAUCGCAUGGUGGGUGGUGGAAAGAUUUAUCGGUGCAGGAUGGGCCCGCGGCCUAUCAGCUUGUGGUGGGUAAUGGCCUACCAAGGCGACGACGGGUAGCCGACCUGAGAGGGUGACCGGCACACUGGGACUGAGACACGGCCCAGACUCCUACGGGAGGCAGCAGUGGGGAAUAUUGCACAAUGGGCGAAAGCCUGAUGCAGCGACGCGCGUGAGGAUGACGGUCCUUCGGGUUGUAAACCUCGUUU